rnacentral:rRNA from 1 species
CGGCAAACGGGUGAGUAACGCGUAGGAAUCUUCCGUUCAGUGAGGAAUAACUCUGAGAAAUCGGAGCUAAUACUGCAUACGUCCCACUGGGAGAAAGGCGGCUUUAUGCUGUCGCUGAAUGACGAGCCUGCGUACUAUCAGCUAGUUGGUGGGGUAAAGGCCUACCAAGGCGAUGACGGUUAGCCGGCCUGAGAGGGUGUACGGCCACACUGGAACUUAGACACGGUCCAG